UACGUAGGGGGCAAGCGUUGUCCGGAAUCAUUGGGCGUAAAGCGCGUGUAGGCGGUCCGUUAAGUCCGCUGUGAAAGUCGGGGGCUCAACCCUCGAAUGCCGGUGGAUACUGUCGGGCUAGAGUGCGGAAGAGGCGAGUGGAAUUCCUGGUGUAGCGGUGAAAUGCGCAGAUAUCAGGAGGAACACCAAUUGCGAAGGCAGCUCGCUGGGACGUUACUGACGCUGAGACGCGAAAGCGUGGGGAGCAAACAGG
rnacentral:rRNA from 1 species